rnacentral:rRNA from 1 species
CCUACGGGGGGCAGCAGUGAGGAAUAUUGGUCAAUGGACGAGAGUCUGAACCAGCCACGUAGCGUGAAGGAUGACUGCCCUAUGGGUUGUAAACUUCUUUUAUAUGGGAAUAAAAUGUUCCACGUGUGGGAUUUUGUAUGUACCAUAUGAAUAAGGAUCGGCUAACUCCGUGCCAGCAGCCGCGGUAAUACGGAGGAUCCGAGCGUUAUCCGGAUUUAUUGGGUGUAAAGGGAGCGUAGGUGGAUUGUUAAGUCAGUUGUGAAAGUUUGCGGCUCAACCGUAAAAUUGCAGUUGAAACUGGCAGUCUUGAGUACAGUAGAGGUGGGCGGAAUUCGUGGUGUAGCGGUGAAAUGCUUAGAUAUCACGAAGAACUCCGAUUGCGAAGGCAGUUCACUGGACUGCAACUGACACUGAGGCUCGAAAGUGUGGGUAUCAAACAGGAUUAGAUACCCCAGUAGUC